rnacentral:rRNA from 1 species
UAAUUGAAGAGUUUGAUCAUGGCUCAGAUUGAACGCUGGCGGCAGGCCUAACACAUGCAAGUCGGGCGGUAACAGGGAGAAGCUUGCUUCUCUGCUGACGAGCGGCGGACGGGUGAGUAAUGUAUGGGGAUCUGCCUGAUGGAGGGGGAUAACUACUGGAAACGGUAGCUAAUACCGCAUAAUGUCUUCGGACCAAAGCGGGGGACCUUCGGGCCUCGCGCCAUCAGAUGAACCCAUAU